UACGUAGGGGGCAAGCGUUGUCCGGAAUCAUUGGGCGUAAAGAGCGUGUAGGCGGCCCGAUAAGUCCGCUGUGAAAGUCCAGGGCUCAACCCUGGGAUGCCGGUGGAUACUGUCGGGCUCGAGUCCGGAAGAGGAGUGUGGAAUUCCUGGUGUAGCGGUGAAAUGCGCAGAGUAUCAGGAAGAACACCGAUGGCGAAGGCAGUUCUCUGGGACGGUACUGACGCUGAGACGCGAAAGCGUGGGGAGCGAACAGG
rnacentral:rRNA from 1 species